AACGAACGCUGGCGGCAUGCCUAACACAUGCAAGUCGAACGAGACCUUCGGGUCUAGUUGCGCACGGGUGCGUAACGCGAGGGAACCUUCCCUUAUGUUCGGAAUAACUCCCCGAAAGGGGUGCUAAUACCGGAUAAUUUCUUCUGACCAAAGAUUUAUUGCCUUUGGAUGGGCCCGCGUUGGAUUAGCUAGUUGGUAAGGUAAAAGCCUACCCAGGUGAUGUUCCAUAGCUGGUCUGAUAAGAUGAUCAGACACACUGGGACUGAGACACGGCCCAGACUCUUACGGGAAGCAGCAGUGGGGAAUAUUGGACGAUGGGCGAGAGCCGGAUCCAGCAAUGCCGCGUGAGUGAUGAAGGCGUUAGGGUUGUAAAGCUCUUUUAACCGGGAUGAUAAUGACGGUACCGGGAGAAUAAGCUCCGGCUAACUCCGUG
rnacentral:rRNA from 1 species